ACCCGGUCCGCCACGUCCCCGCCAGGGCCGACCGAGCCGAGCCGGGCCGGAGCGGCGGGCGCGGCCAGGCCGCCAUGGACCACAAGACUCUGCUGCCGGAGCGGCCGCCCGCCUACAACCAGGAGGCCGGCCAGGGUGACUACGCGUGCGGCCCGCAUGGCUACGGCGCCACCCCCGCCGCGCCCUACCCCUACCUCGUCACAGGGAUACCCACCCACCAUCCCAGGGUCUACAACAUCCAUAGCCGGACCGUCACCCGCUAUCCUACCAACUCUGUCGUGGUCGUGGGAGGCUGUCCCGUCUGCAGGGUCGGGGUGCUGCAGGACUGCUUCACCUUUCUGAGAAUCCAUCUUCCUGGCCAUCAUCCUGUUCCCCUUUGGGUUCAUCUGCCGUUUUGCCUUGAGGAAGUGAAGAUGCCCCAACUGUGGAGCCACCUUCGCUUAA